GCUCAGUAACACGUGGUCAAUCUGCCCUAAGGUGGAGGAUACUCCCGGGAAACUGGGGCUAAUACUCCAUAGAGGAUGUAACCUGGAAUAGUAUAUCUUCGAAAGAUCCGUCGCCUUAGGAUGAGACUGCGUCUGAUUAGGUAGUUGGUGGGGUAACGGCCCACCAAGCCCAUCAUCAGUACGGGUUGUGGGAGCAAGAUCCCGGAGAUGGAUUCUGAGACAUGAAUCCAGGCCCUACGGGGCGCAGCAGGCGCGCAAACUUUACAAUGCGAGCAAUCGUGAUAAGGAAACCCUGAGUGCCUGUUGAUGCAGGCUGUUCAUUAGUUUAAAUUGCUAGUGAAGAAAGGGCAGGGCAAGACCGGUGCCAGCCGCCGCGGUAAUACCGGCUGCUCGAGUGAUGGCCACUAUUACUGGGUUUAAAGCGUCCGUAGCUUGAUUUUUAGGUCUCUUGGGAAAUCUUUUGGCUUAACCACAAGGCGUCUAAGAGAUACCGGAAAUCUUGGAACUGGGAGAGGUAAGCCGUACUUCGGGGGUAGGAGUGAAAUCUUGUAAUCCUCGAGGGACGACCUAUGGCGAAGGCAGUUUACCAGAACAGCUUCGACAGUGAGGGACGAAAGCUGGGGGAGCAAACGGGAUUAGAUACCCCGGUAGUCCCAGCCGUAAACAAUGUGCGUUAGGUGUAUCGGCAACCACGCGUUACUGAUGCGCCGCAGAGAAACCGUGAAACGCACCACCUGGGAAGUAUGGUCGCAAGGCUGAAACUUAAAGGAAUUGGCGGGGGAGCACCACAACAGGUGGAGCCUGCGGUUUAAUUGGAUUC
rnacentral:rRNA from 1 species